CACAGGAUCUGUGUAAGACCAGAGUGAGGCCAGGAGUCCCAGCCUGAGGUCCUUAAUCCCAGUUUGAGGCAGUUAGUGGGCCACUCCAGGUCAGUAUAAACCCAGCACUAAGCCCCAUAUCCCCACUGAAGCCAGUCCCCAAAGUAUUGACCAGUGGGAGCCCAGACAUAGCUAAACCCUAUCAAAGCUCAAAGCAGACCCCCCGGGGAAGGCAGUCCACGAUGUACCUGACCUGAUCAAGUCCAAAGUGAGACCAAAAGACCCUGCCUAAGCCUGAGAUUAGUCUUUGAGCCAUCAGCAGUCUCCAGGGGGUGACUGAAUCAGCAGUGGAAGGUGACUUUCUAUAAGUCAUCAUCCUACCUUAGAAGAACUGAAAUUUACAGAAAAACAGAAAUAAAGCUACUUUCCGCAACAGAGGACCUGGUUUCAAAUCCUGUUUCUGAUGAUUCCUGCUUACCUGGCUUUAGAUCCUACCAGAAGAUAAACAUAUUGGACAAGACUUUGAAAAAUAAGCUGUCCAAUAAAGAAGAUUUUCCAUCUACCUCCUUUAAAUCUGAACUUGGGACACUUACCGUGAAGCCAAGAACCAGAGUUCUCCUUAUUCUGACCCCAACCCAGCAACAAGAGACAAGCCUAAAUUCUGCACAGAUACAUGGAAUGGAGGGGAGAUAGUGUGAUACUUUCUGUCUGAUGAAAUCCCUAGGGUUGAAACUAGACAGAAGAGGAUAAAAGGAGCCCAAACACUAGGUCCCACUGCUGGAAAUCCCAAUCUUGCAAUAAACAAC
rnacentral:lncRNA from 1 species